rnacentral:tRNA from 1 species
AGAAACUUAAGUUAUAUCAAACUAAGGGCCUUCAAAGCCCAAAAAAAAGCACACUUUAGUUUCUG